rnacentral:pre_miRNA from 1 species
AGUUCAGAUUUCCUCGGCAGUUAACUACAGCCGUAUUUCUAAAACUUCGGCAGUUAACUGCCGAAGGACAU